rnacentral:rRNA from 1 species
GACGAACGCUGGCGGCGUGCUUAACACAUGCAAGUCGAACGCUGAAGCACCAGCUUGCUGGUGUGGAUGAGUGGCGAACGGGUGAGUAAUACGUGAGUAACCUGCCCUUGACUCUGGGAUAAGCCCGGGAAACUGGGUCUAAUACUGGAUGCUACAUGUCACCGCAUGGUGGUGUGUGGAAAGGGUUUACUGGUCUUGGAUGGGCUCACGGCCUAUCAGCUUGUUGGUGAGGUAAUGGCUCACCAAGGCGACGACGGGUAGCCGGCCUGAGAGGGUGACCGGCCACACUGGGACUGAGACACGGCCCAGACUCCUACGGGAGGCAGCAGUGGGGAAGAUUGCACAAUGGGCGAAAGCCUGAUGCAGCGACGCCGCGUGAGGGAUGACGGCCUUCGGGUUGUAAACCUCUUUCAGCAGGGAAGAAGCCACAAGUGACGGUACCUGCGGAAGAAGCGCCGGCUAACUACGUG